AUUGAACGCUGGCGGCAUGCUUUACACAUGCAAGUCGAACGGUAACAGGCCUUCGGGUGCUGACGAGUGGCGAACGGGUGAGUAAUGCAUCGGAACGUACCCAGAGGUGGGGGAUAACGCAGCGAAAGCUGUGCUAAUACCGCAUGUGAUCUGAGGAUGAAAGCGGGGGACCGAGCAGCAAUGUUUGGCCUCGCGCCUUUGGAGCGGCCGAUGCCGGAUUAGCUAGUUGGUGGGGUAAAGGCCUACCAAGGCGACGAUCCGUAGCUGGUCUGAGAGGACGACCAGCCACACUGGGACUGAGACACGGCCCAGACUCCUACGGGAGGCAGCAGUGGGGAAUUUUGGACAAUGGGCGCAAGCCUGAUCCAGCAAUGCCGCGUGCGGGAAGAAGGCCUUCGGGUUGUAAACCGCUUUUGGCAGGAACGAAACGGUGUCCGCUAAUACCGGGCGCUAAUGACGGUACCUGCAGAAUAAGCACCGGCUAACUACGUG
rnacentral:rRNA from 1 species